UUAACAUUAAUUUAUUGUAGGGUUGCAUAACUUGUUUAUGUCUUUAGCCUUCAGAAAUUUGACAGAAUGUUUUUUCGAGAAUAAUUUAAGAGAGGUUAGAAUUGUUCGAGAUAGAAUGUGUUAGAUAAAAGCAUUUAAAGUUAAAUAAAAGAUGAAAAAGACUCCAUAGUCUAAUUAUUUCCACUAAAGUUAAUGGUGAGAGCCUAUUCACAGCCUGGCCACGCACCUCAUCCGGUGGCAACGCCAUGCAAACCACUGACUAAAAGUAAAAUCAAGAAUUUGUUUGAAAACAACAGUAGAAUAUCCAGCAUACAAACAAUGUUUCGAUAUUACUCUGACGGAUUCUUCAAUAGUUCAAAUUGAUAUGAAAUAUACAAUAUUAUUCCGAAAUUUUCAUUAUUCUGAAAGAUAGGUAACGAAAUAUUAACGAAGAUAUCCGAAAUGUCGCAUCAUCUUUUUGUUCCUAAAGGAGACGUUGAAAAGAAUAUUUAAUUAGAAAGAUAUAAUUUUAAUAAUACGAAUCGAUCAGAGGAUGUUGUAUUCCAUUGAUUGCAAGCUAAAUAAAUACCUACGUUUUUUAUUUCAAACAAAUCCGAGAAAAAAAGAAGAUAAUAGUUACAGUUUUAUAUCCAGUAACUACUACGUACAUUUAGCAGGAGCACAACACUUAAAAAAAACUGUAAAGGACAUCAAGAGGGAUAGAAUCAGAGCGUGCAGGAAAAUGGAAGGAAUACAUUCAUAAAAAAAUGUUUAUAUGAAUACAGUAAAGACUAUAAGCAAAUUACGAGGUGUGGAUAUUAAAUAACCGGCGAAUAAGGUGGGUGAUUUAACACUGAGAUAUUGGGUUUGACUAGAAACCUCUUGAUGGAUAGUGUGAAACGAGCUGACGCAUUGUACUGAUGAUGAUGAUGAAAAAGUAAUAACAAAUCAACUUCAACAUCUUCUCGGCUAUCUUGAAACCGCUUAAAGUACUCCUAAUCGCGACAAACAUUUUUUGUCAUACACUUGUUUUAAUAAAUGAUAAGUUUCAGUUGCAGAACUAGUUGAUCUGACCUUUAACAACACAUAAGGCUCCAUACUUGUCAGAAGAAUACAAAUAGGAGCAUAUACGUGGAAUGCAAUAAAAAAGGUAGUUUAUAAUUUGGAACCUAACCUAGUUCAUAUAUCAGUAAUUAGAACUAUUUCUGCUUUUAUUAAAAAAAGAUCUUACCUUCUUUUUUAACGAAGGGAACUUAUCUAUAUCUACUUUUUUGAAGUCAAUUAAUAAUUCAAUAUUCCAGAAUUUUUGAAAUCGGCGGAAGGCUCCUUAAGACCGGCUAAAUUCCGCUAUUCAAAAAUCUCUGGAGAAAUUGAUCUUAACGCUACCACGGUCGCUAACCAAUAGAACAAUGUAACUACAUCUCCAAUCGUCAAAUUCUCAGUCGGAUAUAUCACGACUUCCGCACAUAUAAAAUUUGGAGCCAAAUUUAAAAAUUUAUAACCAAAUCCAUAACAAAAAAUUCGACAUCGAUUGACAGUCAAAAGGAAAAUAUGAAUGAAGUUAGCAGCAGACUUCUUGAGCAAAAUCGGGUCACACGUCAGGACGACAAUCCAGCCAGGUGCAACAAUAGCUCAAUUUCAAAAACAUCUGCUAACAAAUCACUCCUCAAAACAACCUUUCAACGAACUGAACAAUCAAUAUCUGCAAAAUUUACAAAAUCUGCACGAAUAACUUAAUUCGUGAACAGUUAAUUGCAACGUCUGGCAAAUUUCGAAUAAUGCUUGCUUCCUUUAGACCAAGACUUAACCUCAAAAGAAAAUAAACCAAACAUUCAAUAUAUUUAUAUAAAAAUAGUUCAACAAAAGGACAAUUUAAACUGUGCUAAAUAACUUAAAUUCCAGGAACCCAGUAUGUCACCAACAUGUACAUACAAAACUACAAAAGAGAGACAAGGAUAAUGGAUCGAAGCACAACAUCAACACACGACAAAAUUAUUCUAAACGCAUGCCUUCCUAAAAUAAAAUUAAAAAAAAAAAUUUUGUUGUUCGGAAAAAAAUUAUAUAAAUAAAUUAUUUUAAAACGUUUUGUAAGUACGGAAAAAUGAUAUUUUUGAGUCGGGGAAUAAUUAUUAGUAUAAGUUGAAAAUGUAAAUAUAAUAAAGAAUUGAUCAAA